rnacentral:lncRNA from 1 species
GCAUUUUAACUCUAUUUACCCCCAACUGUUUUAAUUUAACCUAUGGUUUUUUUUUUUUAAUUUUAAAUUAAUUAAUUGAUUAUUUUUUUUAGAUGCAGUUUAGGUCUUGUUGCCCAGGCUGGAGUGCAGUGGUGUGAUCUCGGCUCACUGCAACCUCCCUUUCCUGAGUUCAAGCGAUUCUCCUGCCUCAGCCUCCCAGGUAGCUGGGAUUAUAGGCACCGGCCCCCAUGCCUGGCUAAUUUUUUGUGUUUUUAGUAGAGACUGGGUUUCACCAUAUUGGCCAGGCUGGUCUCGAACUCCUGACCUCAGGUGAUCUGCCCACCUCGGCCUCCCAAAAUGCUGGGAUUACAGGCAUGAGUCACUGUGCCCAGCCAAUUUAUCUUAUGUUUAAUAGAGUUCAAUGUUCACUAUGAUUUCUUUCAUACAAAUGAUUUCCGCAUUUGUGAUUUAAUCUUUCAUUUGGCGUCAUUUUGGGGUCGAUUUAUUGCAGGUGUUUGAAAUCAGAAAACAAGUGAGGCUUAAUCAAGAUAGGAGUUUAUUUCUCUCUCCCAAAAGAAGUCUGGAAGCAGGCAGGCCCGGGCUGUGACUGGGCCUUCGUGAACUAAGUCCUAAAGAUCUAGACUGGUAGCCCUCUGGCCUCCUCAGAAGAAAGAGAGACGGAGGACAGGCUUCUCCCUGGGAAAAACUGCCCGGAAACCCCUCACAGCACUUCUUGGAUUCCUUUGGACAGAACUUGAUCAACAUGGCAACAGCUGAAUGAAAGGGAAUUUGGAAAGUGUCAUUUUAAGUCUGGCUGGCUCUGUGCCUUCCUCAUUUCAGAGUCCCGUCCCUGACGAAGCAGGAGACACAACCAGCAGACUCUGCCACAGUCUUCGCGUAUAUACCCCAUGUGACGCCUGUAUCCUCAGUCCUUGGAAAGCUAACUGGAAAAAAAGUACAAAAGAAAAGCAGAAAAACCCACAUCUAGAAGAGGACAAUAGCAGAAGCGUGUGGGAGGCAGCGAUGUGGGGCUCAAGAGGCGACAGUUUUUCUCCAUGACUGCAAAAUCCUGCUUGCAAGAUGCACUGCCCCUCUCCAGGAGGUAUGGAGGGUCUCAGAAUUCUCACUGCAUUAAUGAGGGGUUAUGAAAUGUUUUCCUGCUUCUCUGAGCCUGUGGUUAGAGCAGAGGUCCCCAGUGCCUGAGCCACGGAUCAGUACCUGUUUGUGGCCUGUUAGGAACUGGGCUGCACAGGAGGAGGUGAGUGGCAGGUGAGCUAGCAAAGUUUCAUGUGUAUUGACAGCCACUCCCCAUCGUUCGCAUUACCACCUGAGCUCCGCCUCCUGUCAGAUCAGUGUCGGUACUAGAUUCUCACAGGAGUGCGAACCUUGUUGUGAACUGUGCGUGGGAGGGAUCUAGGUUGCAUACUCCUUAUGAGAAUCUAAUGCCUGAUGAUCUGUCACUGUCUCCCAUCACCCCCAGAUAGGACCAUCUAGUUGCAGGAAAACAAGCUCAAGGCUUCUAUUGAUUCUACAUUAUGGUGAGUUGUUUUAUUAUUUCAUUAUAUAUUAUCACAUAAUAAUAGAAAUGAAAUGCACAAUAAAUGUAAUAUGCUUGAAUCAUCCACAAACCAUACCCCCGUCCUCGUCUGUGGAAAAAAUUGUCUUCCACAAAACUGGUCCAUGGUGCCAAGAAGGUUGGGGACUGUCAGGCUAGGGGACAGAUGACCUCAGUUGCACGUUAGUGUCACAACUGAUGUCUUUCCCCGGGGGGGCCAUUCAGUUUGCUUCCUAAACUCUUUCCUCUCAAAGUGCCUGUAGCAUCUUGGUUUUCUCCUUUUCCUUGAAUACCUUCCAUCUCUAUUUUCCAGAAGAAACUCUGCUUCACUUCCUGCUGGCUGCCUGACAUGUACUUCCAUGCUUUCAGUUAUUCACUCAACAAAUAUUUAUUGAGUGCCUACUGUAUGCCAAACAGGCCCCUAGGCACUGGGGCACAGCAUGAAUAAAACAGAUACACGUCUCUCAAAUAUAACUCAGUUUAAUGCAUUUUUAAAUUCUAUUUCCCAG